GUCCACGCCGUAAACUUUGGGUGCUAGGCGUCGCGGGUAUUGACCCCUGCGGUGCCGCAGCUAACGCAUUAAGCACCCCGCCUGGGGAGUACGGUCGCAAGAUUAAAACUCAAAGGAAUUGACGGGGGCCCGCACAAGCGGUGGAGCAUGUGGUUCAAUUCGAAGCAACGCGCAGAACCUUACCUGGGCUUGACAUCUGGAGAACCCCCUGGAAACAGGGGGGUGGCCUUCGGGAACUCCAAGACAGGUGCUGCAUGGCUGUCGU
rnacentral:rRNA from 1 species